rnacentral:rRNA from 1 species
UACAGAGGGGGCGAGCGUUGUUCGGAAUUACUGGGCGUAAAGGGCGCGUAGGCGGCCAACUAAGUCAGACGUGAAAUCCCUCGGCUCAACCGGGGAACUGCGUCUGAUACUGGAUGGCUUGAAUUCGGGAGAGGGAUGCGGAAUUCCAGGUGUAGCGGUGAAAUGCGUAGAUAUCUGGAGGAACACCGGUGGCGAAGGCGGCAUCCUGGACCGAGAUUGACGCUGAUGCGCGAAAGCCAGGGGGAGCAAACGGG